rnacentral:rRNA from 1 species
UACGGAGGGAGCUAGCGUUGUUCGGAAUUACUGGGCGUAAAGCGCACGUAGGCGGACUACUAAGUCAGGGGUGAAAUCCCGGGGCUCAACCCCGGAACUGCCUUUGAUACUGAUAGUCUCGAGUCCGGAAGAGGUGAGUGGAAUUCCGAGUGUAGAGGUGAAAUUCGUAGAUAUUCGGAGGAACACCAGUGGCGAAGGCGGCUCACUGGUCCGGUACUGACGCUGAGGUGCGAAAGCGUGGGGAGCAAACAGG